GUCAGAAUGGCCGAGUGGUCUAAGGCGCCAGACUCAAUUUCUGGUCUCCAGCUGUAGGCGUGGGUUCCAAUCCCACUUCUGACA
rnacentral:tRNA from 1 species